CGCCUGUUUUAUCAAAAACAUAGUUUAAGGAAAUAAUCUUAAAUGAAUUCUGCCCAGUGAUUUUUUUUUUAAAUGGCCGCAGUACCUUGACUGUGCUAAGGUAGCAUAAUCAAUUGGCUUCUAAUUAAAGUCUGGAAUGAAAGGAAAUAUGAAGUAAUUCUAUCUUAGAGGAUUUUUUUUGAAUUUAUUUAAAUGAUGAAAAUAUCAUUUUAUAGAAAAAAGACGAGAAGACCCUUAGAGUUUUGAUAUUUAUCAUAUUUUUGUUGGGGCGACAGGUAAACAUUAUAAACUUUACGAAUUAUUAUUGAUCGAUUUUUUAUAAGAAUAAUAAAACUACCUUAGGGAUAACAGCAUUAUAUUUAUUUAUGAUUGUGACCUCGAUGUUGGACUAGGAACUUUAUGGCUAGCCGUCAAAAAAGAUUUGUUCUGUUCGAACAAUUUUAUCCUACGUGAUCUGAGUUCCAAACCGG
rnacentral:rRNA from 1 species